rnacentral:tRNA from 1 species
GCCUUCGUGGUGUAACGGUGAGCACACUCGGCGCGUCUUCGAGAGGUCCGAGGUUCGAAUCCUGGUGAGAGCA